rnacentral:rRNA from 1 species
UGCGGAGGGUGCAAGCGUUAUCCGGAAUCACUGGGUUUAAAGGGUGCGUAGGCGGUCUAAUAAGUCAGUCGUGAAAUCACUGGGCUCAACCCAUGCAAUUGCGAUUGAUACUGUUAGACUUGAAUGGGGUUGAGGCUGGCGGAAUGCGACAUGUAGCGGUGAAAUGCUUAGAUAUGUCGCAGAACACCGAUUGCGAAGGCAGCCAGCUGGGCCUUUAUUGACGCUGAGGCACGAAAGCGUGGGGAGCAAACAGGAUUAGAAACCGUACGUU